rnacentral:ncRNA from 1 species
UCAAAAUAUCACGAGAAGGGUUUGCAUCCUCUCCAACCUGCCAACUCCGGCAAGGUGGAAAAAUGAUAUGGCGUUCAGCAAACAUAGGAGAAUAG